GGCCAAAUCGAUUUUCUUUAGGAUUUUCAGUGAAUUAAUGAGAGAGUGGUAUGGGCAAAGAGGAACCUGAAAGCCAAGGAGCAGCAGAAGCCUCUGGGGCCACGAUAAAAAUAGGAUAUUUGCCCAGGAACUCAGCAUCAUCAAUAAGUGCCAUAAAGCAUCCCUCCCCUUCAAACAAGGCAAACGUAUUUCAACUGAAAAUGGCACCAUUGGGUGGAAGAUGAGAAAACUGAGGAAAGGAGUGACUUGACGAGGAUGUGCAGUCAGGGGAAGCUGGAGUUUGUGUCUCUGAGGUCCGUGGUCUUACAUGAUGAGUGCCACCCUUGCCAAUUUGCCUUCUUCAUCCUCCUCACCCCCUAAGACUUCUUGAUUGCCCUUGGGGUCUCAGGACAUUCUCUUUUCCACCUCACCGUGAAUGCCCUGGCUCAGGA
rnacentral:lncRNA from 1 species